rnacentral:lncRNA from 7 species
GAUAGUCUGUCCCUGCGCACCUCUUCUCCACCGGGAGAGCCCCCGGGAAAGCCAUUUCUCUUCCCAAAGGGAAACUUAGGCCAGUUUCCCAGAGGGUCUGAUGGCACGAAAAGGCUGAGGAGCCUCAAGGCUGGCCCAGUGCCUCUGAGAAGCGGGUGAAGUCAUGGCCUGUUGCUUUGAUAAGAGGUGCUGUUCUCCUCCUGUUGGCUUCAGGUGACUCAGCAGUAGUAUGUGGCUGACAUUAAAUUAGAGUCACGUUUACGUAACACGUCAUAGUUUCGACGAGCUGUAACCACAGAGCUGAUGGGAGACUGGGGGGGUGUUUUUUACCUCAGAAGGUUCUCUGUUGGGACUGCCCACGCAGCCGAGAAGCAACUGAAGGGACUCUGCUUUCUUUUUGAGCUGCUUAAAACACACAGAUGGAAUGAGUGCCCAUGUGCAAGCUUUGGUAGCAGAACAGCUUCAGGGGUUGGCCUUCAUGAGAAGAGACCUCCAUCUCCAACAGAGCCAGUGAUCUCUGAAAUACACCUGCUGCAGGAUAAAGAUCGAAAAGAAAUAUCUUCCUGGCAGCACUGCGUAUGGAAGGAAUAAGGAAAGUAACAAGGAGAAAGUUGCGCGCAUUUACAACAUGAAGAUGCUAUUCAAGGUCAGAAGAAGAAGGUCUUCUAUCUACGUAGAAGAAGGUGGAGACCAUAUAAACACUCAUUGAAAGAGACCCAUGGAGAAAACAGAAGUAGGGGAAAGCACUACAGCUGGAAAAUAAAUCUUGACAAUCCUCCAUUCUUGCUGUCAGACAACACCAGAAGCACACUGGCUUCAAGCAGUCCAGUAUCAAAGUGGAUUUGGAGAUUUGGCUAUUGCUCUACUGGGAGAUGGUUGGAAGUACAAAGAGGGGAAAAAUAACCGGUGAAUACGUAACAGGAACAACUCGUUCUUGGAUUCAGAGCUGUCUGUGGACAAUCUGUAAGCCAGUGUUUUAAGUAAAAUAUGUGACUAAUGAUCCCUAUGAGGAGCAUGAAGUAAUUAAUACCUGGAGGUGAUAUACAAGGCUGAGGGAAAGUGGGAUGAAGGCGUAACAACAUGGGAGAAUGGCAGUGUUUGAGAAAAGCCCACACCUUUGGAGGUGGCUUCUCAUGGGGGAGCAAGCUGUGAAGAAAGCACAUGAAGAAUAAGGACACAUUUUAAGUGCCUUUAACACAUUGCAAGAAUGUGUAAAGGACCACGUUCCCAUAUUUCAUGAGCAAUCACAGUGCUAGCUGCUUUUUUUUUAAUUGCAGCAAAUUACUGACUUGCUUGAGCUUUUCAAAACUGGUGAAACUCAUUAUACUUCAGAAUAAUUGCAUAAACUACUUUAAUAUUCAAACACACUUGAAUAAACAACUAUUCUGUAUUAAGUUUUCAACAAACUGUUGCUUUUGCUGGUUGAACCUUGUGUUCUCUGUAAAGAUUACUUUCUUAUGGCACUUCUGAAAGUUAAUAUGCAAGAGCAACAUAUAAUUUGAGGUCCUUUCAGUUAAUUGCCCACACAGCUGAAUUCUGCAAAACUGCUCAAUUACUAAAAGGCAAAAUCUGAGCUGUUUGUUUAUUUUCCCUUCAGUGGGAACUCAGCUUUCUGCUAAUCAGUGACUGCAGCUGAAAUGAAUUCAUCAUCACAACGGUAAAACAAGUAGUGCAUUCAUUUAGCAGCCUGUUAAACUGUGCAUGCAUUUUAGUCCCUUUGCAAUGUGGUUGCCAUGGCAUUUGUGGGUGGUGGUGAAGAUGACAGGAGAUUCUCAACAUAAAUACCAAACCACGCUAUAAUAUAUGUCGUGCUGACCUGCUAUUAAUUAGGUGGCUGCUCUUUUAUCAUAAAGAACACAUCAGUUCAACUUUCCCUUCAGUAAGUGAUGUGAAAUCUGAACCAGCAGUGGCUAUAGGAACGUAAAUCAUAUGACGAACUUUUAAAGGUCGGGUUUCUGUGUUACUGAGGUUUUCCAAAACUGUACAGGCAUUAUGAGCAAGUGGCAAUAAGGUGACAGUCUGCACUGAAAGGCUGGGCUGUGUACCUGACUAUGGACUACAUUCUAGCAAUUCUAUCUUGUCAUAAAGUGUAAUGAUGGUUAGGAACGUAUAUUAAUUAAAAUAUGAAGUU